rnacentral:rRNA from 1 species
UUAAGCAUAUCAAUAAGCGGAGGAAAAGAAACCAACAGGGAUUGCCCUAGUAACGGCGAGUGAAGCGGCAACAGCUCAAAUUUGAAAUCUGGCGUCUUUGGCGUCCGAGUUGUAAUUUGCAGAGGGCGCUUUGGCAUUGGCAGCGGUCCAAGUUCCUUGGAACAGGACGUCACAGAGGGUGAGAAUCCCGUACGUGGUCGCUAGCCUUUACCGUGUAAAGCCCCUUCGACGAGUCGAGUUGUUUGGGAAUGCAGCUCUAAAUGGGAGGUAAAUUUCUUCUAAAGCUAAAUACUGGCCAGAGACCGAUAGCGCACAAGUAGAGUGAUCGAAAGAUGAAAAGCACUUUGGAAAGAGAGUUAAAAAGCACGUGAAAUUGUUGAAAGGGAAGCGCUUGCAGCCAGACUUGCCUGUAGUUGCUCAUCCGGGUUUCUACCCGGUGCACUCUUCUAUAGGCAGGCCAGCAUCAGUUUGGGCGGUUGGAUAAAGGUCUCUGUCAUGUACCUCUCUUCGGGGAGAACUUAUAGGGGAGACGACAUGCAACCAGCCUGGACUGAGGUCCGCGCAUCUGCUAGGAUGCUGGCGUAAUGGCUGUAAGCGGCCCGUCUUGAAACACGGACCAAGGAGUCUAACAUCUAUGCGAGUGUUUGGGUGUCAAGCCCGAGCGCGUAAUGAAAGUGAACGGAGGUGGGAACCUUUCGGGGUGCACCAUCGACCGAUCCUGAUGUCUUCGGAUGGAUUUGAGUAAGAGCAUAGCUGUUGGGACCCGAAAGAUGGUGAACUAUGCUUGAAUAGGGUGAAGCCAGAGGAAACUCUGGUGGAGGCUCGCAGCGGUUCUGACGUGCAAAUCGAUCGUCAAAUUUGGGCAUAGGGGCGAAAGACUAAUCGAACUAUCUAGUAGCUGGUUCCUGCCGAA